AAAAGUAAGUAAGGGCACAUGGCGGAUGCCUUGGCUCUCGGAGGCGAUGAAGGACGUGAUAAGCUGCGAUAAGCCGCGGGUAGGUGCAAAUGACCUUUGAUCCGCGGAUUUCCGAAUGGGACAACCCGAUAUCCUGAAGGGAUAUCAUCCCGCAAUGCGGGAGGCUAACGCAGGGAACUGAAACAUCUUAGUACCUGCAGGAAAAGAAAAUAAAUAAUGAUUCCCCCAGUAGUGGCGAGCGAACGGGGAACAGCCCAAACCGUUGACGUCGCAAGGCGCCAGCGGGGUUGUAGGACCGCGACAUUGUAUGCAAAUCGUGAACAGAACACUUUGGAAAAUGUGACCAUAGACGGUGAUAGUCCAGUAUGUGAAGCGAAAUGCAGCAUAGCGGUAUCCUGAGUAACGCGGGACACGAGGAAUCCUGCGCGAAUCUGCCGGGACCAUCCGGUAAGGCUAAAUACUCCCGUGAGACCGAUAGCGAACGAGUACUGUGAAGGAAAGGUGAAAAGAACCCCGAGCAGGGGAGUGAAAUAGUUCCUGAAACCAUACGCCUACAAGCGGUCGGAGCAUCGCAAGAUGUGACGGCGUGCCUUUUGCAUAAUGAUCCUACGAGUUACCGUCACUGGCGAGGUUGAGUGUCACGAGACACGUAGCCGCAGUGAAAGCGAGCCUGAAUAGGGCGCACAGUCAGUGGGGGUAGACGCGAAACCAAGUGAUCUACACUUGGCCAGGAUGAAGUCCCGGUAACACGGGAUGGAGGUCCGCACCAAUAAGCGUUGAAAAGCUUCUGGAUGAGCCGAGUGUAGGAGUGAAAGGCCAAUCAAACUUGGAGAUAGCUCGUACUCCCCGAAAGGCAUUUAGGUGCCGCGUCGGAUGGUCACCGUGAGAGGUAGAGCGACCGAUAGGACAAGAGGGCUUCACCGCCUAUCGAGUCCUGACGAACUCCGAAUGCUCACGGUCUGCAGUCCGGCAGUAAGGGGGCGGGUGCUAAGGUCCGUCCCCGAGAGGAGAAGAAUCCAGACCGCCGUCUAAGGUCCCGGAGUUCUGCCUGAGUUAGUCUAACGAAGUCUGGUCCCUAUGACAGCUAGGAUGUUGGCUUGGAAGCAGCCAUUCAUUCAAAGAGUGCGUAACAGCUCACUAGUCGAGGGUCCGGGCAUGGAUAAUAAUCGGGUAUAAGGCAGACACCGAAGGCGCGGGAUAGCAUUUAAGAAAGUAUCGGUAGGGGAGCAUACUCACAGCGUCGAAUGGUGUACGUAAGUUAUCCUGGAGCGGUGAGUAAAGCAAAUGUAGGAAUAAGUAACGAUAAGGAGGGUUAGAUUCCCUCCCGCUGUAAGACCAAGGUUUCCCGGGCAAUGCCAAUCAGCCCGGGGUCAGUCGGGUCCUAAGUCUAAGCCGAACGGCGAUGGCGAUGGCAGAGACGGUUAAUAUUCCGUCACUGCCGCAUGGGGCGACGUGGAGACGGAGCAGUGAAACCACCGCGGGGCGACGGAAGUCCCCGUUGAAGAGUGUAGGUGUUGAGGAUGGCAGGCAAAUCCACCAUCCGAGCUGAACUUGAUAGUACGGAGUCCUCCUCGGAGGAAUCUGAUAGUGUGGGUAAUCAUACUCCCGAGAAAAUCCGCUAAGCUUAACCCAUGCGGCACCCGUACCGUAAACGGACACACGUGGUCGGGUAGAACAUACUAAGGCGUUGAGAGAUUCAUGGUUAAGGAACUAGGCAAAUUGACCCUGUAACUUCGGGAUAAAGGGUCCUCGUGAUGAGCGAGGCGCAGAGAAUAGGUCCAGGCAACUGUUUAACAAAAACACAGGGCUGUGCAAACUCGAAAGAUGACGUAUACAGCCUGACACCUGCCCGGUGCCGGAAGGUUAAGAGGAGAUGUCACUCGCAAGAGGAAGCAUUGAAUUGAAGCCCCGGUAAACGGCGGCCGUAACUAUAACGGUCCUAAGGUAGCGAAAUUCCUUGUCGGGUAAGUUC
rnacentral:rRNA from 1 species